rnacentral:rRNA from 1 species
GACGAACGCUGGCGGCGUGCUUAACACAUGCAAGUCGAACGGAAAGGCCCUGCUUUUGUGGGGUGCUCGAGUGGCGAACGGGUGAGUAACACGUGAGUAACCUGCCCUUGACUUUGGGAUAACUUCAGGAAACUGGGGCUAAUACCGGAUAGGAUCUCCUGCUGCAUGGUGGGGGUUGGAAAGUUUCGGCGGUUGGGGAUGGACUCGCGGCUUAUCAGCUUGUUGGUGGGGUAGUGGCUUACCAAGGGUUUGACGGGUAGCCGGCCUGAGAGGGGGGACGGGCUCCAUGGGACUGCGGGACGGCCCAGACUCCUACGGGAGGCAGCAGUGGGGAAUAUUGCACAAUGGGCGGAAGCCAGAUGCAGCAACGCCGCGUGCGGGAUGACGGCCUUCGGGUUGUAAACCGCUUUCGCCUGUGACGAAGCGUGAGUGACGGUAAUGGGUAAAGAAGCACCGGCUAACUACGUG